UACGUAGGGUGCAAGCGUUAAUCGGAAUUACUGGGCGUAAAGCGUGCGCAGGCGGUUUGUAAGUCUGUCGUGAAAUCCCCGGGACUCAACCUGGGAAUUGCGAUGGAGACUGCAAGGCUAGAAUCUGGCAGAGGGGGUAGAAUUCCACGUGUAGCAGUGAAAUGCGUAGAUAUGCGGAGGAACACCGAUGGCGAAGGCAAUCCCCUGGGC
rnacentral:rRNA from 1 species